UACGUAGGGGGCAAGCGUUGUCCGGAUUUAUUGGGCGUAAAGAGCGUGUAGGCGGCCAUACAGGUCAGCUGUGAAAACUCGAGGCUCAACCUCGAGACGUCGGUUGAAACCGUAUGGCUAGAGUGCGGAAGAGGAGAGUGGAAUUCCCGGUGUAGCGGUGAAAUGCGCAGAUAUCGGGAAGAACACCCGUGGCGAAGGCGGCUCUCUGGGACGGUACUGACGCUGAGACGCGAAAGCGUGGGGAGCGAACAGG
rnacentral:rRNA from 1 species